AGCCAUAUCAAAAUUUUAUCGUCAGGMAGAAAGGCCACAAAAAAGUUUUCGUUUGUAACUUUUUUGUUUCGCAGGAAUUUCUAAACUAAGUUCUUCAAGAAAUCGUGCGACAAUGUGUUAUUCCUGCUGUAGCUCAUAUUCCUGCUGCUCGCCCCGCUGUGGGCCAUGCAGACCAUGCGGGCCAUGUGGCYCUUGYGGACCAUGUGGWCCCUGCGGACCUUGCCGRCCAUGCUGUGCACCGUGUGGACCGAGCGGAUCAUAUGGCUCAUGUCUUGAUUGUCGUAAACCCUGUGGUGAGUCRAAUAUUUGUCGACCCACAGGCUGUUUCUAUUUCGGCUGAGAUACCAUCGUCGCGAACACGAGUCAUAGGAAGUGUGUUUGCGAGCCAUCUGCGUCUAGUGCGUCCAUUGUUGGUGCUGGCGUUGUGCUGCAAACACCGAACGUUUUGGAAUUUCGCUAGAAUAAAUGUUACAGAAAAAACGAAUAACAGGACAAGCACACAUUGUGCUGAGUGAAGUUGAUGUGUUGUAAACACGAAAAUUGGCCAAUAAACAUACACACGUUUUGACAUCAAUAAAAUGAGA